rnacentral:rRNA from 1 species
GAGUUUGAUCCUGGCUCAGGACGAACGCUGGCGGUGCGCCUAAUGCAUGCAAGUCGAACGGUCCCGGUUCGCUUCGGCUUAUCGGAACAGGGGCGGACGGCUGAGUAACACGUAAGUGACCUAUCCCGGAGAGGGGGAUAAUUCCGAGAAAUCGGGCCUAAUACCCCGUACGAUCUCUUUCAACACGUUGGAGGGGAUGAAAGGUCCUCGCUUCGGCGGGUGCCGCUCUGGGAGGGGCUUGCGGCCUAUCAGGUUGUUGGUGAGGUAACGGCCCACCAAGCCAUCGACGGGUAGCCGGUGUGAGAGCACGACCGGCCAGAGGGGGACUGAGACACGGCCCCCACUCCUACGGGAGGCAGCAGCAGGGAAUCUUGCGCAAUGGGCGAAAGCCUGACGCAGCGACGCCGCGUGAGGGAAGAAGGCCUGCGGGUCGUAAACCUCUUUUCUCGGGGAAGAUAGUGACGGUACCCGAGGAAUAAGCAUCGGCUAACUACGUGCCAGCAGCCGCGGUAAUACGUAGGAUGCAAGCGUUGUCCGGAUUUACUGGGCGUAAAGGGUGUGUAGGCGGCAUAGUAAGUCUCAUGUGAAAUCUCCCGGCUCAACUGGGAGGGGUCAUGGGAAACUGCUAAGCUGGAGGGCAGCAGAGGAAAGCGGAAUUCCGGGAGUAGUGGUGGAAUGCGUAGAUACCCGGAGGAACACCAGAGGCGAAGGCGGCUUUCUGGGCUGUACCUGACGCUGAGACACGAAAGCGUGGGGAGCAAACCGGAUUAGAUACCCUGGUAGUC